GGAACACACAAGACAGGUCAGGGAAAAAGUUGUAGAGACGUUUAAAGCAGGCAUAGAUUCUAAAAAGAUUUCCCAAGCUUUGAACAUUUCACUGAGCACUGUUUGGGGGGAGGGUGUUUGUAUGUCUGUGUCUAAGAGCCUCUUUGUGUCUGUUUCGGGUCCAGGAGGGAAGGUCUGUGGCUCCUCACACUUGCUAUUGCAUAUUUUUAUGGACAAACCUUAUGCACACAAGCGCACACACACAUACACCCCUGUGUUUGGAGUCAGAUGUUCUAUAUUAAGCUGCAGUUGCCACUAAAUACAACUUGCAUUCAUUAUUACCGUCCACUUUUCAGUAACUUUCUGGAUGGCCAUUUUUUUCCUUUUCGUUUCCUUCUCAGUGUCCAUUGCAACUGAAACAAUCCCAAAGCAGUUUCUAAUAAAGUUUUUUUUAUAUAUAUAUCAACCGGAGCAUUAUAGCCUUAGCUCCACGGAAAAAAACCCCCAAAAACAACAAAAUAAAAAACAGUAGCCUAGGACUUCAGCUGUUGUUUGCACUCAGUUUGUAAAUAGUUUGACCAUUAAAUGCCCUGGAGAUUAUCUGCCGUUUUAAAAAAGGUUAUGAGUUUUCUGCCAUAUUUACCAUUAAUAGAGAAAUUGAUCUGAUGAGGAAAGUGGACAUGUGUGCUUAAAAUGGCCUUGUAGGUAAUGUAGUAAAUGAAGAAAACAUAUUUAAACAUAGAUAAAACCUAGAGAUUAUAUAAUUUUUUAAAUAAUAAAAUGCUAACAUAUAACACUGCUUAAUUUUCAUUUCGCAAUAUUCUCCACUCCUUCCAACAGGUUACAGUAUUUCCUCUCAGUAAAAUAAUACAAAAAGCUGAAAUUAAGCAAACAAUAUAUUAUUUCAAUAAUAACAUUUCUGUUUAAGAGGUUUACUUUGUUCUCUGCUUUGUGUCAUUUUGCACACAGUAUGUUGACUGUUCAGCAUCAAAGGAGACCAUGACAUCAGAGCUGAUGACAUCACUUUAUGAUGCAUCAAAGAAUCUUUACCAAUAUGUGACAUCACAAAGAAUGUUUUCAGACCUGUUCCCGACUUUGUACGAUACAGAUCACUUUUGAGAGAGCAUGAUCGAAUUUUACCCAAACCAGCGAGAUCUGAAUCUGAGAUAUCAGACGCCUUUUAGAGAACGAGACCAUCUAAUAUACAGACUUGGUUGACCUCAACAUCCAAGUCGACUGUGACGCCAUUAUUUGUCUUUGUGAUGAUGUCUGCAAUGAACCAUUGAGCUGCAUCUCAACCAGCCAGAAGGUGUGACUUCCCUCUCAAAAGAGAUCCAGGGGGAACCAGUUUCUUCUGGUCACUUUGAGAGUCCAACCUCAGUCGAGGUCCAGCAGGACUUAAAUCCCUCUGCUGACUCAGAGUCUUUCAAC